AUGCUCUGUCUCUCUCUCUGUCAAAAAUAAAUAAACAUUUUUUUUUUUACAAAAAAGAAUUGGACUAUAUACUGAAAUAUUUUUAAAAAAAGAUGAGUCUUUGAGAUUGAUAAAACACAAGAGAUUUAAAUGUCACCUAUCGAUGGCAGUCUAAGGAUUAAACUUCAUUUGAAGUUCACACAAUGGUCUUCCAACAGAAUCACCUCUGAUUUUAGCUUCUAACUUCCUGACACUCUCCCUCUUCUUGGAUUUCGAUUUUUGUUUUCUAAGCCCAAGUCUGUUCCUGCGAUUACUCAUUAGUUUUGGUCUCCAAGCUCCAGCACUGCGGGGCAACACCAGCCCUCCUGAAACCAUUCCCUCCCUUGGCUCUGCUGCUCCUCUGGGAUCCAGCAGUCCUCCAUCACAGACCGUUCAGCCUCGAGUUCCCUUCUCUUUCUAGCCAAUGGAUGUGUGUGUCCAUCUCAGCCCUCUGUGUUGCGUCUGCUAAAACUUCAACACUAUAUUGGAGUGUGCGACUUCUAAAUAAUUACUUUCAGCCUUCUUCUUUCUCCCAGUCCCAGGGCUGCACCUCCAACCACCUAAAGGAUAUUUUAAUUGCUCAUCACAUCACUGCUUCAAAGAAAACAUGUGUGAAAUGGAACACACCAUCUUUUCCUUCACUCGCAAACAGUUCCUUCUGCAUUUGUGGCAUGAUUUACAAUAACCAAGAUACUGAAGAAGCCCACGUGUCCACUGAUAGAUGAACUGAUAAAGAAGACACGGUGUACAUAUACCCAACGGAGUGUUACUCAGCAAUAAAAAAGAAUGCGAUCUUGCCAUUUGUGACCACAUGGAUGCCUAGAGCAUAUUAUCCUGAGUGAGAUGAAUGAAGCUGGGGUUCAGCCUGCAUAAACUCGCUCUUGCACACCAUCCAGCCCAAAAGUGUCCACAUAAAUGUUACACAACAAACUAGGUAAGUCCACAGAAAACUGCAGGUAAGGACAGGAAUUCUGUGAUAACUACGGAGUACUUUGGUUGAUUCACAAAACAGUGAUUUUUCUCCCCUUCGUUACUGAAAUGUUAAGUACCAGGGGUUUCUUUACCAGGGCUAUUGCAUGCUUUUCUCUGUAGGCUCCGUUCAACACAUGGUGCUCCUCUGCACACACACAGGAUCAUUCACCUGUGGGAUGCGGUGGCCAUGUUUUGUCUUAAAAUAUCUGUGCUGUAGGGUAUAUUGGGAAAUAAACAUUUAAACCAUGACAGUAGAUAAAGGGGCUCACCUAGAUCUAAAUCCUCAUUUUGGAAAGGAAAUUCAAGCCCAGAGAGUGAAUUAUCCCUGGUUCAUUACCGAACAUGUGAAGGAACCAAAAGGACUCCAAUCCAAAUCUGCUGAGGGAAGCAGGCAGAACGGGUGGGAUGCACACAAGUGCAGUCGUAUGUUAUAUACAUGUGCAGUCAUAUACAUACAAUAUACACUUAGCCCAGUGCAUCAAAGCAACCUGUCCCAAACUGUAAUCAUCUUUUUGCUACAGUGCUGUUUUGAUGGAGUCCUGCUACUCAGAUGACUUCAUCUUUGAUUUUAACCCUCCUGGUUCUAUUCUGAAACAUGCAUUUUCACACUGGGCUGACACCACUGACUUAGCCUGAGGAAUCAGACUCUCUCAAAAUCACAUUCAGGGGCCCACUCCCUUCCACCCCACUCCGACUUCCACAGAGAAAUCUCCUUCCAUGUUCCUUGACUUGAAACCCCAAACUGAGAGUAGUGUUGUAGGAUGCAUUCUAGCUCUGGCCUUGACACUGACAUUGGCCUCCGGAAAGUCACUGACACGUUCUGGAACAUUUUUAAUGAAUUAUUUAUUGAGCAACUUUCAUGGUAAAUAUUAUGUAUCUGGCACUGAACUAGAUACUUUAUAUAUAGUAUAGUAAUAACGCAUUUCUUUUUUUUUAAUUUUUAAAAAACGUUUAUUUUGAGAGAGAGAGAGAGAGA